UUCUGCAGUGGGAACUCACCUGCAGCUCCCGCAGGCACUGCCCUUCCAGCUGGGGACGCACAUCACCCACGCACCAGGCCAGACUGACGUGGAAGGAGGGGUCCUGCGGAGGAACAGCAGGGAGGCAGACGGUUACCUGGAAGCCUUGGUGGGCCCAGACGUGACCAGAGGUCUGUGACGGUGCUGUCACGGGGUCCCUGCUGGAGCCCUGACCCUCAGUGUGGAUCCCAAGCACCCUCUGCAGAUAGAGAAAACAGCCCUGAGCUGGUGCUGGCCAGGGGCUGAGUUGUGUCCCCCGCCAGCAUUCAUAUGUUGAAGCCUUUGGCACUUGGCAUUUGGAGGUGGGGCCUUUGGGAGAUAAUGAGGGGCCCUCAGGACAGGGUUCAUGCAAGCAGACAGCUGUCUACCAGAAACGGACCAUGAUGGCACCUUGAUCGUGGACUUCUAGGCCCCAGAAUCAUGAGAAGGUGGGCCGAUGGAGAAGGAAAGGCUGUUUGUUACCUGGUAGAAAGUGGUGAGGUCAAAUUCCUCCAUGACUCUGUCUACCUCUGAAACCAGGUCCAGGAAUUGGGUGUGCCCCGACGUGACCUCGAGCCCAACGAAGGUUCUGGAGAAGGCAGAAGUGGAGACAACACGGGCAUGUGAUGCAGCCUCUGAGAACAUAAGCCACCCCCGCAGGGGCAGAGGGCCAAAGAGAAAGCACUUAGGUCGUGGUCGCGGGCUCUCGCCCCAUCUCCUGGCUGACUCUUUCCUCUGUCUGUACCCCUUCCUUCCCCAGUUCUAGUCACACAUCUCUCCUCCUUCCCCAGGAUCUCACAACCCUUCAGGACUGCCUUCAUCUCCCCCACCACGUCUACAAGCCCCAAGCUUUUGUGGCCCUGGUCUCUGCCAUCGCAUGGCUCCUGAGUCUGGGCCCUUUCUCGGAGACGUGGCUCUGGGGCGCCAGCUCCCCGCCCCUCAGCUCUCAACACGCUCUCAUCUUGAAAAACCCUCCGUGGGCCCCCAUCUUCAGCCAGCCCCCCUUCCGGUCUCAGCACAACUUAUUAGAUGAGUUGCCUACUGUCACGAUCUCUAAUUCAUCACCUCCCAGCUGCAACCCACCCACCACUUGCGGAACACGGCUGGCUCAUUCGAGCCUCCUGACUGCCCAGCGAUGGAUGGAUCAAGGGCAGGAACCCAUCAGAGGGACGAGUAAAGUAUCUGCACUGCACACUCCUAGUCAACCAUUUAUUCGAAGGAGCUAAGUGACUCUCUGUAGGACCCUUCUGAACAGUUUGGCGUGAACUAUGGGACAUCACAGCCCUGGCUGGCGGUACCUAAUGUGGCAAGACAAAGUGGGAAAGCUGCAGGGCUGAAACUGGCGAAAAUCAAGGGCUGUGGAAAAGCAGCAUCCUGUGAUGGGCAGAAUUACACACAAGUCACCCCCCUCGCUGUGUCGGGCGCGGCAGCGCAAGGAAGGAUGCUGACCAGGAAAGAAUGCGAUCCUGCACGUCGAGAUGGGGACAUGUGGGAACCCCUGAGGAAGCUGGGGCUCCGAGCCCCAAAAUUCCGAUAAGCCUUCUUUCCCAGUGGAAGCGGCCCCCCUGCUGAUGGUGGUUUGGGCCUUGCCACCCCCACCAGAGGGGGUUAACUUGGCACUGCCUGAGGAACCGGUCAUGGUGUCCACUGAAGCAGUUACCUGCAGGAAGAUGCUGUGUCUCCUCAGGAACUGCCCUCCCAACCCCUCUUUGCUUCUAGAGCAGGUGAGACCCAUGAGGAGAUGGGCCGUGCUCCAGAGUACUACUUGAGUUUUCUAAUUUACAGGCGCACGAGUCCAGGGACCAUGUGUGGGAAUGGACGUUGAAGGUGUGGGAUGACAGUGCACGCAUCGUGAAGUCGGACGGGGCUGGAUAUCUGGAUGUGGGCUCACGGAGCAGAGAUCCAGUGUGAACGAGGAGUCAGAAACGGAUUUGCUCGAGUGACAAAUAGAAUGACCAGGGAGAGAUGGAGAGAGAGA